rnacentral:tRNA from 1 species
GGAUGGUUCGCAUAACGGCUAUUGCAGCGGUCCAGAAAACCGAGGGGCUUAACGGCCCAUGUGGGUUCGAAUCCUACACCAUCCG